rfam:Triticum aestivum genome assembly, contig: Triticum_aestivum_CS42_TGACv1_scaffold_342679_4DL
UUAGUACUCCCUCCGUCCGAAAAUAGUUGUCAUCAAAAUGAAUAAAAGGGGAUGUAUCUAGAAUACAUCUAGAUACAUCCCUUUUUAUUCAUUUUGAUAACAAGUAUUUUCGGACGGAGGGAGUACAUG